UUGAAUGGGCAAAAUGGUCUUCCAAUAUCAUCUUCGUCCUUCCACAGAAAAAAAGAAAAAAAUAAAUAAAUUAGGGGACGAAUGGUGACUUUGUAGUUUAUUUGUCGGGAUAGCGUUGAUUGGGAAAGAAUUGUACAGAGUUAGAGGGAAGUGCAAGCAAUCAAGCCAUAAUUCAGUCAAUAAUGUCUCACAGAGUAUACUUCCGCUUGACGAAGACAUCAGGAAGCACAACGAUGGGAGAGCUGCAGGGAAGACUCCCCGUUCUUGUCCGGCAGUGUCCUUGUCUGGAGGAGGGAGGGGUCCGUCGAAGUGGUGCUUUGAACGGAGGAUGUGGUGGGAGGUCUACUGUCGGUGGAGGGCGGAGAGGAGGAGAGAGGGGUCCGGGAGCUUCGAACGGAGGAUGGGGUGGGAGGCCUGGAGUCAGUGGAGGGCAGAGAGGAGGAGGAAGGGGUCCGCGGUUUACUGAGUUGGAGGGUGAGGACGGUGACGCCGGUGCCAACGAGGACGGCCUUGCACCAGCUUUGCUUAGACCGCACAGUCGUGGACUCUCAAGCCCCACAAGGGUUUAGUCGUGAGCUCAAUUUGAGAUUGAGCCUUGCCGUCACCGUCGAGAGAGAGAUGGGGGAACAUUGGUCUGUCGUGAGCUCAAUUAGGAGCCAACGUUUCCCUUAGUUUAAUUUUUUUUUCUUUUUCUGUGAGAGGAAGAAGAUGAAUGUGGGAAGACUGCUUUGCCCUUUCAAGGAGGCAUGUGAGGGGCACAUGACCCCAAUUGGCCAGAAAAAUGACCAGAAUUUCGCCAACUGGGUAAUUUGCUUAUUUUUCAAUGAGCUUCUAACUCGCCCCUUAAAGGUGAGGGACAAACUGCUUUUUCUUCUA